rnacentral:rRNA from 1 species
UACGUAGGGGGCGAGCGUUGUCCGGAUUUAUUGGGCGUAAAGAGCUCGUAGGCGGUUUGGUAAGUUGGAUGUGAAAUCUCCAGGCUCAACUUGGAGGGGUCAUUCGAUACUGCCAUGACUAGAGUUCGGUAGGGGAGUGUGGAAUUCCUGGUGGAGCGGUGAAAUGCGUAGAUAUCUGGAGGAAUACCGGUGGCGAAGGCGGCAGCCUGGACCGACAUUGACGCUGAGGAGCGAAAGCUAGGGGAGCAAACGGG